rnacentral:tRNA from 1 species
GCGCCUGUAGCUCAGCUGGAUAGAGCAUCAGCCUUCUAAGCUGAUGGUCGCGCGUUCGACUCGCGCCAGGCGCACCA